GAAACAACAGAAACAGUACUGUAUCAUUCAGUACAACUAGUGAUCUUUGCUCUGUUUUCUGAAAGAAUGGAAGAACAAGAAUUCCUUUUUUCUAGUUUGAUACUAGUUGCAGUUUCCAGAAAGAAAAUGUUCGUUACAGAUGCAAAAGUAUGACAGAUUUGCGUCCUUUAGUGGAAUCUUAGCUACUGUACAUACUGGGAGUGAUUUGAAGAACAGAGUGACAAACCAACAAUAAUGAUUUCUUCAAUAGCUAGCCACCAAGAUCCAAUUCAAAAGGAAAAGAUGAACCUAGUUAUCAGGCAGGUGUAUUUAUCGACAACCAGAGGAAUUUCCCUAAUUGGAUUGAUUUGAGUGAGCACUAGGAAUUGUCUUGACAAAUUCUCUACAAGAUCACAGCAUGUGUAAAUAUCUUGGUGCUGCAAAAGCAAGAAUGGAUAAGAUAGGCGAGAAAACGUCUGUUUGCUGCUAUCUUCAGCGAUCAGGAGGUGCCGUAUGAAUUGCGUGAAGUCUAAGUUUCAGUCUCAAAAGGAAGUGAUUAACAACAAAAAUUCCUCAUGAAAGGGCUGUCACCUCAUCAUCAUAACCAAAAAAGCUAUAGACCUUCCUGAUGGGGUCUCCUUUUGGGAUUGUUUUCUAGUAAAUGUUUUAAGCAAACUGUGGAGGGCCGAAUGCAGGUUCUAAUGCAGACAUUUCUUCUCCAAAUGUUUUGGCAUUCCAUGCUGGUGAAUAAGCAGACAAAUGCUUAAACUAAAUGUAUUAAAAGAAAGAAGAAAAAAUAGCGCAGAUUGGAGGGAGGGAUCAUGGUAAUUGUCCUAUGAGGACAUGGCCUUGGAAUUACUAAUAACAAGGUUGAAG